UUCCAGGAUAGUUUCUUAAGCCUAUGUUCUUCCUUGAGACAAACUUUAUUCUCAGAGUAAUGAAGAGAUUUUAGGAAGAGAUCAAGAAAUUAACAUUAACCAAAUUUGUGGUAUGGAGUGUUAAAAUUUUAUGUUCUGCCUGGUUUUAAAAAUAAUUUCAGAUUGUUAGUAGGUAAGAUGAGUAUAUUUUUGAGGUUCCCGGUAAAAUCCUCUGUACCUCCCCCAAAUCUCUCACCUGAAUGUAGAGUAAGGAUAUAAAAGAAACGAACAUGUCUUGAGUUCCUGUUAUUUAUAGCCACUACCCUGAGCACUUUACAUGUAUUCUCUAUGUAAUUCUAUUGCUAAUGCCUCAAAUUUUAGCAUUGUGAUUUCAGUCUUUAAGAUGGUUUCCCUAAUAAAACAGCAGCUGCCACUGAGAAAGGUAACUCCACAUGUAAGUGAUAUCACUGAGUAAAUGACAUACGUGUUUUUUCCCCUGAGCACAUGCUUUUCAGGUGGGGAGAUGAAUAAUUGAUGCUGCAGGACUCUGUGACUGGAACAGAUUACAAGGCAGCCUCCUUUUCUGUGUUCUGCCAUCCAACGAAUAUUGAGUAUUUGUUCCAUGCUCGGCACUAUUCUAGAUAAUUGGAGCCACAUCAGUAACUAAAAUAGACAAAUAUUCAUGCCCUCUUCAAGCUUACCUACAAAUGUGGAAAAUAUGGUCUGUUAAAACAUGAUAAAGACCCUUACCCCUCUUAACUAUGGGCUGAACUUAGUUACCAACCUACGAAGAUUAGAGUACAGAAAAGAAGGAAUUAGUAACGUUACAAUGGACAAAACUGGCAGCCACCACCUUAGCCCAGUGAGCAGGGUUCACAUCACCAGUGAUAAUUUAUGUCGAUGGCAUGUGUAUCAGUAUGAGGUGAUGAGAAGAGUGCUUCAUCUUGGUGGUCUUCUUCCCCAAACCUAUAGCCCCAGCCUAGUCAUGAGGAAACGUCAGAUGCCCCAAACCGAUGGACAUUCUACAGAGUACCUGGCCAGUAGCCCCCAGACUGUUCUGGUCUUGAGAAACUGUCAUAGUCCAGAAGAGUUUAAGGAGGCAUGACCAUCAAACACAAUUCAGUAUCCUGAAUUGGAUUCUAGAACAGAAAAAAAAGGACAUUGGUGGGAAAAUGGUGAAUCCAAAUGAAGUCUGGAGUUUAGUUAACAGUAAUGUAGGAAUGAGGGUUUCUUUAUUUUGACAAAUCUACCCUGAUGGUGCAACAUGUUAACAUUAGGGGAAAUAGGAUGAGAGUAACCAUCUGCAUGAUCUCCUCAACUUUCCUGUAAAUCUAAAGUUAUUCCAAAGUAAAAGGUUUAUAUAAAAAUGUAAGGAAAAACAUAGAGCAGUAUAAAGGAGAUAAGGAAUGCCGAAGUUGCAAAUUUAAAUAGGUUAGUCAGUUAUAGAGAAGGUGAUAUUUGAGUAAAAAGUUUAAGGAAGGCCCUGACCGGUUUGGCUCAGUGGAUAGAGCAUCGGUCUGCGGACUGGAGGGUCUUGGGUUCGAUUCCGGUCAGGGGCAUGUGCCUUGGUUGUGGGCACAUGCCCGGUAGGGGGUGUGCAGGAGGCAGCUGAUCGAUGUUUCUCUAUCAUCGAUGUUUCUGGCUCUCUAUCCCUCUCCCUUCCUCUCUGUAAAAAAAUCAAUAAAAUAUAUUUUUUUAAAAAAAGUUUAAAGAAGGCCCUAGCCAGUUUGGUUCAGUGGGUAGACCAUCGACCUGUGGACCAAAGGGUCCCAGGUUCAAUUCCGGUUGAGGGCACGUCCCUUGGUUGCAGGCUCCUCCUCGGCUCAGGCCCUGGUCAGGGCUCGUGCAGGAGGCAACCAAUUGGUGUGUUUCUUUUCAUAUUGAUGUUUCUCUCAUCUUUCCCUCUCUCUUCCACUUUCACUAAAAAUCAAUGGAAAAAUAUCAAAAAAAUAUUUUUUUAAAAAAAGAGAAAAGUUGAAGGAAGGAAGAGAGGGAGCAACAUGAAUAUAUGAAGGUAAAGCAUUCCAGGCAGAGGCAAGUGCCAGGUGGGAGCAUGUCUGAUGUGUUGGGGAAACAGCAAGGAAGCCACUGUGUCUGGAGUGGAGUACGUGAGGGGAGGAGAAACAGAACAUGGCACCAGAGGGUAACAAGACCAAAUGGUAUAGGGCCAUGUAAGACACUGUAAAAGCUUCUGAUUUAAAUUGGGAGGAAAUGCUGAGCAAUCAAAUACUUUGGAGUAGAGAAGUGAAAUAAUUUGACUUAUGUUUUAACAUGACCCCUCUAGGUACUCUGUUGAGAAAAGACGACAUGGGGCAGAGGUACGGGCAGAAAGGACCAGCUAGGAAUAUAACCCAGAUGAGAGAUGUCUGUGGCUGGGGCCAGGAAGGCAGAAGGAAGUGAUUGAAUUUGGGGUGUAUUUUAAAGGCAGAGCUAACUAGAUUCGCUCACUGAUUGGACAUGCUCUGUGAAGGUAAUCAAGGAAGUUUCACAGGGCUUGCCCCGAGGAGAGGGAAGGACACACUUGCCAUCAUGUGAGACGGAGAGAACAUGGGCGGAGCAGGUUUGUAAGAGCAAUUAAGAGUCUAUUUUUUUAAGAGUCUAUUUUUUUUAUACAAACAAUGAACAAUUGGAAUUCACCAUUUAAAAAAUACCAUUUACAGUGCAACAAAAAUAUGAACUAGUUGGAAACAACCCAAAUGUCCAUCAGCAGAUGGUUGGAUAGACAAAAUAAGAUAUAUGCUUAUAAUGGAAUAACAUUCAUUCCUGAUGAAUUUCUUUUUUUUUUUUUCCUGAUGAAUUUCUGAUACAUGCUACAGCAUGGACAGAUCUUGAAAACAGUAUGCUAAGUGACAGAAGCAAAACACAAAAGGAUAAAUACAGUAUGAUGUUAGCUAUAUGAGGUACCUAGAGUAGGCAAAUUCAGAUACAGGAAGUUAAGUAGUGGUUACCAGGGACUAGGGGGAAUGGGCAGUUAUUGUUUAAUAGGUACAGAGUUUCUGUUUGCAGUGAUGAACAAAUCCUAGAAAUAGUGGUGAUGAUUGCACAACGGUUUGAAUGUACUUAACCCAUUACACUUAAAAUGGUUAAAAUGGUAAAUUUUAUAUGUACUACAAGUAAAAUACAAAGUUUUAUUUUAAAAAGAGGAAUACUAAGGGUUAAAUUUAACAACUGAAAUGUGCAAAACCUUUGCAUUGGCAUUGCUGAGCGAAAUUAAAGAGGGCAUUAAUAACUGGAGGGUUACACUGUGUUCCUGGGUCGGAAUACAUGCUAUUAAGAUGCCAGUUCUCCUGAGCUUGAUUUGUUGAUUCAAUGCAAUCCCAAUCACAGCACCAGCCAAUUUUGGUGAAGAGAUUUAUAAGCAGAUUGUAAAAGCAGAUAUGGAGUUACAAUGAACCUAGAAGAGCUAAAAUAACUUUGAAAAAGAAGAGCAAUGUUGGAGGAUUUCUACUGCUACUUUAUUUCAUUACUUACUAUAGAGUUAUCAAGAUUGUAUGGUAUUCAUGUACAGAUAGAUGAGUUGUCCUGAGUACAGUGAAGUAAAAGCAGAACCAAAGAGUUGAGGAUGGAUGCAAGGGAAGGAGUCUGUUGGUUGCCAUGGAAUUUAAGCUAGGUGAAGAGGGAAGGGAAGACAGGGAAGGGAGUGGCACUGAAAGGAUACAGAAACGGUUGAUUGUAGGUCAAGGAAUUGUUCGAAUUUAGGCACUAGAAGAAGGGGGCUGGAAACAGGAAUUGGUGGUUAGCAAGUGGGGUGAAUGGACUAGUAUCAUUGAGGGGUGCAGCUGUUGGUAAUGCAGGGUCUAGGGCAGCUGUGGGCAAACUAUGGCCCACGGGCCGGAUCCGGCCCGUUUGAAAUGAAUAAAACUAAAAAAAAAAAAAAAAAGACUGUACCCUUUUAUGUAAUGAUGUUUACUUUGAAUUUAUAUUAGUUCACACAAACACUCCAUCCAUGCUUUUGUUCCGGCCCUCCGGUCCAGUUUAAGAACCCAUUGUGGCCCUCGAGUCAAAAAGUUUGCCCACCCCUGGUCUAGGGUGUGACCAAAGGAAUGUGCAACCAAGGUGUGGUGAAGACUUACAUCCUUACAGGGGAGUUCAAAGACAUUAGAGGACAAGUGUCAGGCUCAUUCAUGUGCAUGUAAACAUCCCCACACUAUGAUACAGGAAUAGUAAUUGGAGAAAAUGACAGCUAGGAGCUGAAAUAAUCAAUAAAUGAGGGGGGGACUGUCUGGAAUUGGUAUAUGUUGGCAGUAAUGGAGGUUAAUGGAUGAUGCAGUCUUAUGGCGUAAGAUUUAGGGAGGACCUGGGAAGAGCUCUCUGAAAUGGCCACCUUGCUCACCUUGCGCCCUGCCCAAUGGAGCAAGUGCGGAAAGAGAUGGGCUGGCUGCCAUUGAGAUGCGUGCAGAAGAGAGCACGGCUCCCAUCAGAGAGGAUGAGCAGAAGUUUAGAGAAGAGUUCAGGAUGGCGGGGUCCAGCUGAUGAGGGAAUGUGAGGGCACUAGAAGGGUCUCAGGAGUUGGGGGUGGGGUGGGAACUCAGGUCUAACUGGAAUAUGUGCAGUCAUAAAGGGAGCAGCAUGUGAGGGAUGAGGGAGGGGCAGCCUGGGGCCUGGGCUGUUUUGUGGUGAUGACAUCAGCAGGGACGGUGGGCACAGAGAGACUCGCUCCAGAGUUCUCGAGGCAGAUAGCUGCAGCCAGGCUGUGGGGGUGGGAAGGGCUAGGUUUUGGCCUUCCUGGCCUCAGAGUUGGACAGAAGAGACACGUGGAGAGGAACACAUUGACUAUGGAAAUCUGUUUAACAAGAGGAGAGAUUUUCCUUGACUUCGGGUUGUGUGAUUUGUGUGGUCUGGAAUUUGUCAGACACAGAGCAGAUAACUGGCUGAGAACAAGGCCAUUCUAGAGAAACUAGGAAACUGAAAAUGAGGAGAAUCUUCUUGCCAGCAUGUCCUUAAAGGGGAAUCCAUCUACUGGCGAAGAUCGCAGUCAAAAUAUUUAUGAUGAAUUUCAUUUGGCGGUUUUACACCAAGUCUUCUGUCUUGCGUUGGAAAUGGAGGCGUUCAUCCCUGGGAAGCAGCGUGGCUUAGCGUUGGAGAGCUGGCACUCCAAAGUCAGACAGUGGAGACUGAAGUCCUGGCUCCACGACUCAUCCGCUGUAUGAGCAAGUUACUUCACCAGGUCCUAGUUUCCUCUUCUAUAAAAUGGAGAUAAUCAUAGGGCCUGCUUCCUAAGGAUGUUGUGAGGGCCAAAUGAGGCUCUCCAUGUAAGUGCACUUAACAUGCUUCCUGGCACCCAGUCAGCUUUCAGUAUUUGUGACCGUUGUUAUUACUGUUAUUUCAGCAACUUAUAAUCAGAACACACCCAAUAUUUAUACUCUCCUCUGUGACUUGUUAGCACAUAUUUCAGCAUAGCUUUCUCUUUUUAAGACUUGUAGACUUUGUUGGGGCAAUGGGCCACAAUGCACUGUGUGGGUGAUGUUUUGUUGAGUUGUACACUUGAAACCUGUAUGGUUUUGUGAAACAAUGUCACCCCAAUAAAAAACAAAAUAAAGAAUAUUUCAAUAAAAAAUAAAAGUUUUAAAGAGGCUUGUAGAUAACUAGCUACUUAUAUCAUUCAUGUAGGAUAAUGUUUCCGGUCUUCUAAAACCAUGUUUUCUGUGAUGCUUUCUUUUUUAAUAUUUUUAUUGAUUUCAGAGAGGAAGGAAGAUGGGGAGAGAGAUAGAAACAUCAAUGAUGAGAGAGAAUCAUUGACCAGCUUCCUCUUGCACGCUCCACACUGGGGAUAGAGGCUGCAACCAGGGCAUGUGCCCUGAGCAGGAAUUGAACCGUGACCUCCUGGUUCAGAGGUCGAUGCUCAACCACUGAGCCAUGCCGGCUGGGCUGUGAUGUAUUCUUACGAUAUAUUUUAUUUCCUCACCAGCAACAAUAUUUGGUCAUGAAUUUACUGUAUUUUGUGUUAUGAAGUAGGAUAUUUUAACCUUUCUUUAUACAUGUUCUUUCCCCUUUCCCUGUCCUCUGGAAAGUGAUAUCUUCUCCUUAUUCGAGAAUCACUGUCCUGUAGGAUCCUUGUGAUUGCAUACUAGAAUAGUAUGGAGACAUUUUUCACAGAUGAGAUUGGUGGAGUGAAAAGGAGUGACAUCUUAGUGCUGGCGAGAGGAUGGAAUAAUGGGCUCGCGUCUUUCGUAUAUGCUGGCAAUGGUGAGGGGUAAUGAAUAGUGUGCCCUAAUGACAUGUGACUCGGUAGUUAAGGAGGGGCAUGGAGAGCUGUGUGGAAGUGGAAAUGAGAAACAAGGAGGACAGUAUGCUUACCUCCAGGCCCAGUGUGGCAAGUGCUGAAAGAGUUCCCCCCGCUGCUAUUGAGAGGCUGCAGAGAAGAAGGAAACUUCAGGGAAGUUUAGAUUUUCAUUGAAAAUCUAAGAUGGCAUAGCCUUCUGGAGGCAGUUUACGGAAUUGACAAGAUUAAAAUGAAAUACCAUUUGCCUGGCCAGUGUUGCUCAGUGGUUGAACAUCAACCUAUGAAACAGGAGGUCACUGUUUGAUUUCCUGUCAGGACACAUGCCCAGGUUGCGGGCUUGAUCCCCAUUGUGGGAUGUUCAGGAGACAGCCGAUCCACGAUUCUCUCUCAUCAUUGAUGUUUCUAUCUUUCCUUCUCCCUUUCUCUCUGAAAUAAAUUUUAAAAAUAUAUUUUAAAAUAAUAAUAAAACGAAAUGCCAUUUGACCCAUCACCCUCACUUUUAAGAGUUUUUUUUCUACUAAAAAAAUAAUUAGAAAAAUGAACAUUCAUAUGUAUUAAGAGUUGUGUAUGGCCAUGAAAAUUGGAAACAGUGAGCACAUGCUACUUUUAUAAUCAGAAGAAAAAUUCAAAGCUAACCAAAUGCAUGGGAUCUACUUAUAGCAGAUAGAUGGGAAAAACAUCUUUACAGUCUGUCUGUUUUGUAUACAGAGGCAGUUUAUCCUCUGUUUAGUUUUGAAUCAUGCAAAGUUGUUUGAAAGUAUAUUCAUAUACUUUUGAUAUUUUUUGCUUCAACUCUCCCAGAAUAUCAUUGAUGGCCCAUAAUUUUAAUCUUAUUUAUCUUAUUUACCGCCCCCCCCCAACUUCUUUGCUGCCAUGAAGCUCUGCAUACAUGUGGUCUAAAGCAAACACAUAUUCUACUUUACGGCUUUUCCAGGUCUUAGUUGUUAGCGAAAGAAACAUUGCAGGCAUUUUAAGUUAAAUGUACUUUGCAUUUAUCUGGGCGUGGGCACCUUCUUUUAGUAUUCUUUAGGAAUAUAAAUAGCUCAUUUGGUUACUAGCCAAUAAGGCUUUAGAAUUUUGCCUUUGUUUGUAGCUUGCUCCAGAUCUGGUAAUUAUAAGGGAGAUGAAUCUGCAUUUGCUCUGUAGGUAAAAACCUAUAAAGAACACCUAACCCAGUACUCGAGUGGUAAUUGAAAUUAUGUAUUUUCCUUAAUUUUGUUGGAUUGUUUGUUUCUUUUUGUUUUAGCAAGCCCGUAAAGGCUCUGGAAUGCUUACCCACAGCCAUUUGUCAGGAUGAGUGGGGUAUUUUCCUUUUAAGAUCUGUAUAUAAACAGAGGAAAACAUUUCACACCUGUUUAUCUUAGCAGGGCCUGCAGAGCGGGGGAGGUAGAAUCUCCAUGAACUCUUCCACGUAGAGAGGCGUUUAGAAAAGAGCAUCUGCGACUGUGUCAGCUUUGGGUAAGAGCACUCAGAGCCAGACGGAAGGCCCACAGUUCAGACAAAACCCUUUCCUACAUCUCUCAUUUCUCCAUUUGAGUCCGUCUCUGCAGGUGUUUCAGCUCACCUCGCUGAAUUGUCUGUGCUCACAACACACUCUUAUGACACAUUUUCAGAAACACUUUAGGGUUUAGAAUUUUUUUCUUUAAUGAAACCGCCUUCAGGUUUGGUUCCCAUUUGAGAUAGUAAAUGUCUCUCUCAUCCUAGUAUAUUGGGAAAUCUAGUCAGUGUGGGGCAUCGUGGAUCUGUUUCCUCCAAAGGGAUAUUCGAUGAGCUACCUUUUUUUUAAUAUAUAUUUUUAUUGAGCCAAACCAGCUAGGGCUGAUGUCCUACCUUUUAAGAUAUUAUUAAUUCAGAUCAGUAAUAAGUUAGAUGACACGAGUAAAAUUAAUGUCUUUUUGACUUUAGAAAGAAACAAAGUCCUUUUUUAUACAACUUCUAAAUCAUAAAAAGUGAUGUCCUCUUUGACUGAAUCAGUUCCUAAGUUAUAUAAGAAACUUGGUCUGUUUUUCGUUUGCCACCACCCCUCAUCACCGAUUUUCAUCCCACUUAACCAUUGGCUGCAGCCUCAUAUCUUCACCUUGCAGACAUUCCCACCUUCCCUGAUUUCAGUACCUGCCUCAGUUGUGGUCGCCAUCCUGUCUUUGACCAUCAUCAUCCUGAGUGAAUUUGGUGUCCACCUGAAGGACCUCUGAGCUGAUGCAGACUCGUGUCACUACCGCUUCUAUGACUGUCAGCUCCACUUUCCUUCAGCCACUUCUGGGUAAAACCUUCGACAUCUCAUAGCUUAGGGCCGUCCUGCCUUAGAGGAGCAUCCCUCUCUGCCCAUCAUUUAUCUUCCCCAGUCUUCCAACAGCUCUGUCGUUCUUCAACCUUACCCUGGCAUCUAGGUUUUAUUCUCCAAACUCAGCACUCACAUUUGGGUUCACUUGUCUCCAAGCCUAGAGAUUUCCCACCAGACACUCAUUUCAGUGCUCACCUCUUAAUCCUGUUAAAUUCCUUUCUUUCUUAAAAAAAUUAAAUCUUUAUUGCUGAAAGUAUUACAUAUGUCCCCCUUUUCCCCCUAGUAACGCCUUCUAGCCCCCUAUUCCCCCAAGGCCUUCACCACCCUAUUGUCUGUGUCCAUGGGUUAUGCAUAUAUGCAUACCAGUUCUUUGGUUGAUCACUUCCCACCCACCUUCCCUCCCCCUUUCUUGUCUCCUUGAUCUUCUAGUCCUUGAAGACAAAACACAGUGGAUUUGUACAUCAGUGCAUCACCUGGCUCAGGGUUCAUUGUCUUCUUACUGGGCAAGUGAUGUCAACAUAUGUAUUCAUAGGUUUAGAUUUAAUAAUUUUUGGCUGUGUCAAAAAUUGACCCUACCAUCAGAGGACAAACGUUUACAACACUGAGAAACCCAACUAAUGGAAUUACAGGGUCUGCAAUUUUAACUCUGGGCUACAAACUUCAGAGUCUGCAUAUAGUAAGUAAUCUGAGGAAGGAAAGCCAGCCUGGUGUCGCACAGUGGGAAGUGGUGGAAACUGUGGGGAGUGGAGAGAGCAGCCUGCACUGGGCAUAGCUGUGUGCUGGUCCAGCAGGGCAGUCACUGUUUAACACUAGACCCAGGCUGGCAGCUCAUGCAUGCAUCUCUCCUGCAGAUAUGUUCUGUUUGGUCCACACAGUAUUUUCAUUUUUAAAAAUGUAUCGUCAACAUUUAAAACUUAGAUGAUUUUGCAUGAAAAUCCAGAUUUCUAGCUCCCGUGAAAAAGAAACACUCUGGAUCCCUGUUGCUGAGUGUAACAUUGGCGACUUCAGUGAUGAGGGCAAGGCGCACUUGGAAAUAUUAGUUUUAAAAGAUUUAGUAAAUGCCCGGCCAGCACAGGUCAGUGGUUGAGCGUGGGCCUAUGAACUGGGAGGUCAUGGUUCGACUCCUGGUCAGGGCAUGGUUGCCGACUUGAUCCCCAGUGGGGUGUGCAGGAGGCAGGCAAUCAAUGAUUCUCUGUCAUCAUUGAUGUUUCUCUCUCUCUCUCCCCCUUCCUCUCUGAAAUCUAUAAAAAAUAUAUUUUUAAAAAGAAAUAAAAUAAGUUAACACUUAAUGCAUAUUAGAGUGCUUUAUUAGCAGACAUUUCUAUUCCAUUUAAAGGCUUCUCCCACCCCCACCUCUUUUGAAGGUUUUCCCCAAAUUAUAAGGAGUAUUAAGUACAUUGGUAUAUUUAAUUUUCUUUGUCUAUUGAAGACCGAAUUUUUUUAAAUGAUGAGGUUUGUAACAAUACAAAGAUAAAAUUUUAUAUGAGUUAACUCCUCAAUGAUUUACUCAUAAAUGAAAAUAAUAAUAAGGCUCUUACAUACCUCAUCUGUUUUGCUGUUUAUUUUCUUACUAAAAUUCCACUUUUUAGAUUGUAACCUAAAUAUCCUUGAUUGCACAAGUAGAAUUGGUUCAUAAUUUCCAAGAUUGCACAACGCAGACUAGAACAAAUGUUAAGAUUCUGUAGAGGAGUGCUCAUCUAGAAAAUGCGGCUGAAUGAGUCAAAGAGACAUAAAUAACUUCUGGCUACAGAAAUUUUUGUUACUAUCUUCUGGCACCUAAUACCAGAGACACUUUCCUCUUUCCUCCUAAGGUGUAUUCGAAAAAAUGCUGAAGUUAUAUAAAGGCCUUCUCUGUUCAGUUAGAGUGAUGUACCUGCCAUUUGUCAAGGUAGGGAGGGGAGGAAGAGGCGGCAGGUGCUUGGGGCAGUGGUAAGCUGAGAGAUGUGACAAGAGCACAGUUUCUAAAUCUCUGGGACGGCAGGAGACAUGGCCCAUGGGGUUUUCUGUUCUUUCCACAAUUAUCACCACAACAGUUUGGACCUGAAAACAUUUUAUCUCAGGUCAGCUGUUUUUGCUUCCAUUGUUUUUCAAAUGGAGCAAUCUAGCCAUUUAGAAGACCUUAAGAUUAUGUUUCCUCUCUUUCUAUUUGUAAUUCCAUUUUCCUCCAAUCAGAAUAUUUCUUAGUUUAUUGUGUUGUUUACAUUUAAGGAGAUAAAAUAAUUUUUUAAAUAGAUGUGCUUGUAAGAAUGAGAUGUGAAAUUAGUAAAAUGAAUGAGUCUCGUUGCGGGAGCGAGAACUAACCACAGAGUUGUAUGGACCUGUCAAUUUUUAAAAAUUAUUUCCAGAUUCUUAUUUCUGUGUUACUGGUCUGUGAUGGGGGAACAAUUUAGAAAAGCAGCAGGUAAAAAAAAUGCAGAUGUGACUAUUUUAUGUGUUUGUUACUUAGAUUUACUGGGGGUCUAAUUUUGAUUCCUUUGGACAUGAACACGCAGGAGCCACAAGCAUACACAUGUAUAUACACCACACCCACACACUUCCCUCCGUAGGCUUUCACUGGACUCCCCCCCCCCCCCCCGGGUUCCUGGAAGGUGCAAGAGUCCUGAAUGGCAAGCUUGACGUAGAAGUGAGUAGUAAUUUUGUCAGUUUUUGCAUCUACAUCAUCAUGGUAUAUUGGACUUAAUUUCAGACUGACAUUUCAUUCAAGAAAUCACAACUUUUUCCUAUUAUUUACUUAAAAUGUUAUCAUAAUAAUGAUUUUAGAGGUAGCUGCCACUGAGUUUGAAAGGUAAACAGUUUGUCCAGCUAGUUAAUCCUGUUCAGGGGGCGGUAAUUCACUAUGAAACCGUAGGUUAUGGUAUCAGCCAGGUUCCAUUCAGGAGACAAACCAUGCCAGUGAUUUGAAAAGGGAAAAUUCAAUAUAACAUUUAUUAACUAGCAAAAGGUCAACUACCAUUAGCUAGUAAGAACCCCUAAGGAAUAUAGGAAUAGCAAAUGUGGGGGCAGCUCCCACCUCUAGAGCUUAGGGAGGAACAGACUUGGGACCACCCCCACCCCCAGGCUGAAAUUGAGACCUCACUGGAGAGCAUGUGGCUGCAGCCUUCUGGAUGAUGGGUUUGCUGUGGUGUCAGACUGGACCUGGCCCAUAAGAAGCCAUCUGCUGGGGUUCCAGUGGAGUUCUCAGGGUGCCAUGGGCUGGGGCUGGUGUGCAGGAAGCUACCUGCUGGGUGAUGGCAGACUGAAGCUGGUCCACAGGAAUCUUCCCAUUGAGGUCCCAGUAGAACACGUGAGGGUGAGUGACACGGGGUCUCACUCAUGCUCCAGCAGCCACAGCCACGGGGGGGAAUCACACAGGAAACCGACAGAGAAGUCUCUCCUCUGCUGUGCCUUGCAGUGUCCCUCCCAGGCCCUGUGUUGACACAGCCUGCCACUGUGCCAGCUGGCAAAGGAGAACUGUUUAUAAUGUCUAGCUCCAGUUCACAAGGCAGGGCAAACACAAUAGACGGGGUGCUGGAGGCAACAACGUGUUCACUGGCACGGUCCACCCCUUUGGCCCCUCGGCAUCUGUGUACCCCGUCUACAGUGUGAACUUCCAUGUAAUGAACAACUCUGUGCUUUCACCAGUCGACACCAGCUGCCCCUCGUACAAGUGCAGAAGUUCUCACUCUUCCCCUAAAAUAAGGAGACACACAACCCCAGCAAUCAUCGUGUCCAUUGCUGGCUUUGUUAAUUCCCCUUCACAUUCUAUCACAGCCCCAGUAAAUAUUCUGUUACCUAAAGACUAAAUUAUAAAGUUAACUCCUAACAACUUGUAUAUAAAACCUGGGGAAAAUAGCCAUUUUUUCCAAAGGAGAUACGCAAAUGGCCUCGUCAUUAGUUUAUGUAUUUUGUGGAAGAUGUGUAUGUUCAAUCUGCCUUUAAAUAUUUCUCUUGUAGGAUCUCAUGCACAUUUCCGCCUGAAAGAAAGCGCGUUCUCAGUGCAAUAAGUUGUUGUUCAUGUAGUUCUGUCUUCAGAUCAUUAAUAUAUCUAUGUGUCCUGGGAGAGCAGCUAAAGAGCAUACAUUGUUUCAUGGCAUUUUGUCAUGGUGGGAGCCCUCAUCACAGCAAAGCAAGAGGCUCACAUUGCCUUUAGAGCAGCCUCACUCACUUGUGACCCCUGGCUUAGAGCCUCUACCUCGUAGUUUGGAAAAGAAAACAAAGUUAAAUUUUUGAUAUGGUCAUUGAAAACAGAAUCUUACAUUAUUGAAUAGAAUAGUAGUAUUUUUUUGUCUAACACUGAAAAUGUCAAUAGACUGGGGAGUGUAAGAGAAGGUGCAUUUCAUACCAGAGAGUUUUCUCAAAAAAAUUUUUACCCUUUAUUUCCUUUUAAUUUCCUAAAUUGAGGGAUGUAUACUUUGUGUACUUUUCCAAUUCUGUUUGUCAGAAAUCUGUAUAUUAUAAGUGAACAGAAAAUUGUACCACUAGAAUGAUUAAAAACACAUGCAUUGCAGCAAUAUAACUAAAUUUCUUUAUGGAACUUCAGUAGGUUUAAUCCAAAGAGUGAGGUAUUGUCUCUCUGUGUGUGUAUGUAUGUAUGAAUGGAUGGAUGGGCGGAUAUCGAUAGAAAUACUUACAUAUGGAUUAGAGUGGGUAUAGAAUUUGGGGUUCUACCUUGUAGUUGAGGCAGAGGAAAGAAUGACCUGCAUAGGACAAAGAGAGAAUGCUACAGUGUUCCAGUGGUGAGACGGGGAGAGGGUGGUGUCUAAAGUAAUAAAGCGUGCUUCUUUACAAAGAGAACACCCACCUCUUAUUUUUAUUGUCAGUCCAUAGAGAAGGGGCAGGAGAGCUGCUCGAAUUGCAGAAUGCUCUUGCAGACCAUCCUGGGCAGUAAGGUUGUUGUAGAAAGGCAGGGCCAGCAUUCAGCUGGGCAGCAUCCACACGUUUAACCCUGAGGCUGCAGCCAGUAAGCGGUGUGUGUUUUCUGGAUUGUAGGAAAUGAAAGGGAGCCUGCAAAUAGUGUUAACUUGUGUGACAGCCGCGUGGUUUUAGAAUGGACACUUAGUUUCUCGCCAAACCACAAUCCUGUUGGGGUUGGUUUUGUGGUUUUCUUUGAGCAUGCAACAGGAAGAAGGGACUAACAUGGGACUACUCCGUGCACAUCAGGUUUUCCGUUCACAAAUGAAUAAAACAAGGAACAAGAAAACCAAUUUCCAUUGCAGAGGACAACCCAGUGGUCAAUCCCCUCUCAUUAUCUCAGUGAGUUUAAGAAAAACAAAAAGAUGGAUGGAUGUACACUGAUUAUAAAUGGGGGUUCCCAUUCCCCCAUUCCAUCUCCUACCUCAUUUAAACCUCUGUUAAUAUUUAAAUAAUUUAAAUAACCUUUUACUAUAUACUUUCUCACCCCUUUUCUUAAAAUGUGCCCUGCUAUUCAUACUGGGGAAAUAGAUGAAAAAUACUUUUAUAAAUAAUUUUCUUAGAAACAGCAAUUUUGCUUUUUUGAAGACUCUGUUUUAAAGGGUGACUGUUAGAAUUUGCAGCAUCUUUCCAAUUUAGGGUCCCAACUAAAUACAAACAUGUUUACAUUUUGAGGAGUUCUUGAUGGAGAAGGCAGAUGACGGGAGCUGACUGGCAUGAGACAGGAGAAAAAGCUAAGAUGUACUUUUAGUAAACAAAGCUUCCCCUUUCUUGGGGAAGCUUUUUUUAGAAAAAUGCCUAAUUCCUAAAUGAGAUGGGCAUGGGGUGCUAACCUCUGGAAUGUAUAUGUUGGUUUGGAAUAUAAUGUUAGUAAAAUUUAUCUUAAAUUAGUGCCAAAGAAGAGAUGACGUCAGCAGCCCUAUAAUUUACACAUGUCAACUAAUAAUGCCUGCCUUCCUUUACCCAACUCUUCCCGUGUGCCAGUGUUCUGUGUCAUAGGUAACACCCCGUGAGUUAGGUAUUGUUACCAAUAUACAGGAGAAAAAGAUGAAGAGAGCUAACUUGUAUGCCUAAGGGCACAUAGUAAGUGGUGGAUCUAGAAUUUGAAUCCAUACCUUCCUGGCUCCUGUGUAUACUUCUUUCAACUGCACCUCUGUUAAUUGAAACGGACUUAGUCGAAGCCUUCCCAAUGCCUAGGUAUACAUUUCUUUUUUAUUCUAGCAAGAGCAAUAAGUGAAGUAACUUUGAAAUGAAACAUUUAUGAAAGUUAUUAAAAUACGAAGAGAAAGUUAUUUGUUCUCUGGCAAUGGGUUUGUCUCACACUCCUCCCCGCCACUGUUUCUCAUGGUCGUUUUCUAAUUGCAGUUCCCACGAAGCUGCGUUAGUUUGGGUUUGUGCAUCUGCAAAAGACCCUGUGACAGAGCAGCAGAUGGAAAACAUUACGGUUACAUUGAUUUUAAUUAGAAGUUUCCAUACUGUUCUUUGCAUUGUUUCCCCCAUAGCUAUAUGGAGACUUUGCUUAAGAUCACGAUUUAGAAGGUUUUUGAGCUGAUAUUUUCCGGAAAGUAUAAAAUAAUAGACCACUUCCUGUUCAAAUAGAAUUUCCUUUAAAUUCCAUUAAACAAGAACCUGUCUGUUGUUUUUUUUAAUCCUCACCUGAGAAUAUGCUCAUUGAGAGGGCAGGAGAGAGAGAGGGGCAGGGAGGGAGGGAGAGAGAGAGAGAAAUAUCGAUGUAAGAUAGAGCAUCAAUUGGUCAUCUUCCAUUUGUGCCCCGACCAGGGAUCAAAUCCACAACCUUUUGGUGUACAGGAAGAUGCUCCAACCAACUGAACCACACCAGCCAGAGCCAAUAACCUGUUUCCCCCCCAUUGUCAAAAAAUAUUUUUAUUAGUUUCCUUUAUUACAGUUAUUGGAUCAUUACUCGCAGUGUAUCUGUAUAUGUAGGUGUGUAUGUUCAAAUUUUAUAAAAGAAAACAAAAGGGCAAUUGCCAUUUAAUUUUUCAGCUAUUCACAAUUUGACAGUUCACCCAGAAGUUCCUAGUUUGGCUUGUGUGGGGAGGGGGUGCUUUCUUCAUUUCCAUACCUCUCUUUUGGUUCGGAGAAUUGUUUCAGCAGACUGCAGAGCAUUUCCACUGGACACUUGGUGCAUGGGCUGGUCCAGAGCUUUGCUGGGGAGAGGGUCUUUCUUCAUCACUUUCUUCAUUUCUCUUACUUGUUCUACCGGCGAGCCCAAGGGCUAUGCGUUUCUGUUCUUGGCAGACUAGCUGGUGAGUGAAAUGAGAUUAGCAGUGAGGGAGAGGGGAAGCCAGGCUGGUGAUUUGUUAUUGCACCUAGAGUGUCAUCGUGUCUGCACCAAACAGAAACUUUAAUUGCACCAGGAUUCAGAGUUUGACGGGAUUUUAGAACCUACCAAAAUUCUACUGAAACACGUGGCUAUGACUAAAGCAAGAUGCUUUCCAAAGCAGAUUUCGACUUGUCUAGGAGAACCUUUGAGCACAAUGUGCAUGUGAGUUCUUAGGUAUUAUGUGACUUUACAUAGGAGUGCCAUUUGUGCAGAGUUUUUGUCUGCCUGGACAGAACGCUUGGCUCUGUCUCCUGAGUUGUGAAAAUAGCAGAAGCAGCAGCCCGAAGGUCCUCAGUCAUCCUUGGCGUCGUCACUCAUUUUGUUUUUCUGCUCAGGCUUUACCCACUAGAGGGGAUAAUGCGUUAUCCUCAGGGAAUUCAGAGACUAUCCCGUGUGCCUUAUAGAAUAUAAGCUAGCUUAGUAAUACACAUCCGUAUAAAGUUACAUGUAUAGUAAUUGACGUGAGGUGCUCCAUUAAACAGUGCAAUGCCACAGUGUACCAGUUCUGCGGAUAUGUUGCCAUGGAUACCCAGUGUGAUGGAGAUGGGGAAAGAGUUGCUUAGGAACUCAGCAAUUUCAUUGGGAGGUACGGUGGAAAAUACACUGUCCAGAAAUAGCUACCAUUGAUCCAGUCAUGUAUGCAAAUAGUUGUUUUCAAAAUUGUCAAUUAAAAGGAAAACGUUUCAAAAUGAGUAUGAAUUAAUGAAAGUUCGUUUAUAUUGUCUGUUGUUUUGUAAGCCAAAAAGCUGGGCAGAAUUCUUCAUUUGAGCUGGGAAAUUAUGUGGCAUACAGAUAUCCUUAAGAGAAACAUGUUUUCGCCAAAGAUGAAUAAAGCAAGUACAGAAAUGCCGAAGGACGGCGACAGGACGGUGGGGGUGAGUCCUCUGAGGGUCUGCUCAUGGGCCGCAGAGUUGGGAACCCUAGGAAUCCUUUGGAUUGAUUUCGAAGCACAGAUUUGGAAAAAGAGCAAGUUUUAAGAAAUAAUAAGAUGUGAUAAAAGCAAAUGGGUGUUCAUCUCGCUGGAUUCUCAACUGUAUAAAUUUGGUUGGCAAUAGAAAGAUGUUGUAGAAUUGGUUCUCCCUUGUCGCCAUCUCUGCUUCUUGUCAUUCAAGUCAUUAUUAUCUCUCCUUCCACUGCCUGGCUAUUUCCCCUUCCUGAUCCAUCUGCCAAAUGGACACCAACUGGAAAAAAAGCAAAGCAAAGCAGAUCAGAUCAUGUCAUUUCUACACCAGAACUUUUGAGGGUUUUCCGUUACCUAUAGAAUAAUUUCUAACCUCUCAUAAUAUAUUAGACCCUUUAAACGAGUUUAGCUCAACAAUGCUUUCAACCUCUUCUCCCGCUACCUUUCCCUCAUGAGAAGACAGAAUUUUUUCCAAAUGGGCAGUGCGCUUUCCUGCCUCCAGCUGGAAUGCAUGUCUACAGCUAGCUCCCACAGGUCAGAGGGCUGUUGUCCUUAAAAUUUCCUUCCUUAGUGCUGGCUGGUAUGCCUCAGUUAGCUGGGCAUCAUCCUGUGCACUGGAAUGUCUUGGGUUCAAGUCCAGUCAGGCUACCUUCCCAAGUUGCAUUCAAUUCCCCAGUUGGAGCACAUACAACAACCGAUCAAUGUUUCUCUCUCUCUCUCUCUCUCUCUCUCUCUCUCUCUCUCUCUCUCUCUCUCUCUCUCUCUCUUUCUCUCCCUUCUUCCCUCUCUAGUAUCAAUAUUAAUUUAGUUUAAUUUUAAAAUGCCCCUCCUUAAAAGCUCUUCCUGCCCUCGGUCCCUUCCCCCCGUCAGAGUUGCAGUUCCUCUGUGUUUUCAUGGACGCUGCUUAUACCUCUACCCAGCAUGUGUCCUAGCUGGUUUUGUGUAGUGUGGUGGUGAGAAGUACAUGCUCAGCCUAGUGUAGCACAGUGCCUCCCACAUUGUAAGCGUCAAAUAAAUGUUAGAAAUACAUACUGAGUAUAUCCUGUCAUCUCGUCCACUUCCCAGCGCCCAACAAUGCUAUACACAUAGUAGGUACUCAAAAAUAUUUAUUGAUUAAAAACUAGCUCAUUUCCGUAGAGUCCUCAAUAAGUAUUUCUCUACUGAAGCCGGUAAUGGGGGUAAAUAAAAUUUAGGGAGAAAUAUUUUUAAAAAUAUGUUUUUAUUAUUUUUAGAGAGGAACAGAGAGAUUAAAACAUUCAUGAGAAACAUCAAUCAAAGGACUGCCUCCUGCUCGCCCCCUACUAGGGAUCGAGCCCACAACCCGGGUAUGUGCCCUGACCAGGAAUCGAAUUAGAGACCUCUUGGUUCAUGGGCUGACAUUCAACUCUGAGCCACACCGACCGGGCUAGGGGAGCAAUAUUUUUAAAUGAUUUAUCUAAAUGUUUGUGUAUUUUAAGAGGGGCAGUAUGGUGAAGAAACACUUUCUAUGCAACUCCUGAAUUUUCGAAGACAGUAUAGUAGCAAAGCAGGGUACACUUGGAAGAGUCCUUUACCCAUAGAGCUGAUGUCAUUGUUUUUAACCAUGGUAAUAAAAGUGGAUGUUAUCUGAAAACAGAUUGGGUAACACGGGGAGAAAUGACGCACAAUUUGGAAACGAAUUUCCUGGAAGAAGCUUUCACAAUAGCUAACAGAAAGGACACAGGCCAGAGUUUGAUGUAGGGAGUGAGAGUCAUUCAGGGACUAUAGCAUCUAUAGUACUUCAGAAUUUUAAACACAGUCAUGUAAUGAAGGGACAACUGAGAGCAUACCUUCAUAAAACUACAGAAAUAUAAAGCUGAAAAGGACCAACCUCUAGUUUUUCUAAUUUUAGCUGCACAUCAGAAUAACUUGGUUUGUUAAAAUAUACAUAGUUGGCCCUACUUCUAAAGAUUCUAAUUUAAUAGUUCCAGAAUAGAGUCUAGCACGUGUGUGUGCAUGGACAUGUGUAUUGUUUUUUAACAUCCCUGAUACAGCAGGUCAGUGGUCUGGCAUUUAGGUACCCAACCAGAGAUUCUUAUGUGGGAUUAUUUCCUACAUCAUAUGAUUAUCUGGACACUUUAAUACCUCUGGUAAUAGGAGCCUUAUAUUAAGACACAUACACACACACCCUUUUAUUUUUUUGGGGGGUGGCCUCUUUUAAAGGCCUUAAUUGGCUUUAGUUUGAAUUUGCUACCCAUUGGUUCUAGUAUGGUCCAUUGGAACCACAUAAAUUGGGUCUGGUACUUCCUCCACCCGGCAGCCUUCAGAUACUUGGAGAUAGCUGUGAUGCCCUUUAAACCUUCUUUUAUUUAGGCUGUAGAGCCUUCCCUCUGUAUUGUGCUGUGGUUUCUUAAUUCAGAAGCCAUUUAUUAAGUACUUAAUAUAUGCCAGAACUGUGCUGGGUGGAACUUGGAGGACCCACAGGAUCUAAUAGUUCAACUGAGAGAAACAAACUUGCAAACAUAUACCUUCAGUACAGAGGCAGUGGUUUAAAGUGUGGUUGUGGGGUCAGACCUGUGUUGGAAUCCCUACCUUGACCAGCUUAGUCUUCAGGCAAGCUCUUUGUGCCCUAACUCCUCAUUUCUAGGGGAAGGGUACUGAUACGCCCUACCUUGUAUUUUUCUUAUUGUGAGUUAAAAUGCGAUACACUGCCAGAAAAGCUAAUGUGAAAUUCAAACUGUGGUAAGGGAAACUUAGGAUCCUGGACCAGGGAGAUCAUGUCCUCUUCAUCUGUGUAAAGUUCUGUCUGCUCCUACUUUGCUUUUUACUCAAUGGGAUGUUAGACAAAACAGUUAACCUCUCUGGAACUUCGUUUCUUCCCCUAUAAAAUGGAGAUAAUUCCUGCCUAGCUGUGUUUCCAUUUUGAAAUGUAAAGAGCAAAUGUAAUGAAUGCAAAUGAUGUUGUCACUUUAGAGAAUUUUGUCAUAUUUUAUUCAUGUGGUUCAAAACCCUUUUUCCUUGAUAUGACUGACAUUACUAUACAGAAUUUUAAUUAACUAAAAUUUAAAUUUACUAAAAUCUUAGAGAUUGUAGCAUAUUCAUUAUUUUUUGGCUUUCCUUAUAUUCAGGAAAAUGUGGGCAUCGAAGUGGUUGACAAAUGGUAAAUUACUUUUGUUUGCAUAUUCAUUUUCAGUUUUGAUAUUCACUGGCAAAUCUGUGUGCUAAACUGACCAAGGUAUUUUAGAAAAAGUUGCACUGAAUACCCUAACAGUAUGAAUGCCAGACUAGCGGUGGCAAAAGCAGCAUGGACCACCUCAUCCAAUGAGCCUGCUUCCACUUUUAGGGGGAAAGGAUACCCCAGGAAUACAGCUAAAGGACAAGGUGGUAGUUUCUUUGACACUAUAAGCUGGUCGCUGGUGUUUUUUUUUGGGGAGCGGGGAGAAGUCUCCUUUUCCCAGGCCUGUUUGUCUCUGUCUGUCUCUUGCUUGUUCAACUGUUCAAACGACAAACAUGCAUAAUGUGCAGAUCAGGAUGCUGCAGAUUACAGUUCUUUCUAAAUAUGUUUUAAACGCAAACAUGAACAUUAGAAUCCUUUACACACAGUACGACAGUUUUCCAUCACCCUUCAAUUGGCAUUUUGGAUUGUGUUCUCUGUAUUCACCGAAGAGGCUCCAUAGAGAAGGAAAGAGGCAGAGGGCGAGGAAGAAAGGAAGAUUCUAAACGACAGUCUCUUAUCUAGUGGAAGUUCAAUCCCUAAAACAAAAAGCGAAGUCGCUUUUUCCCCUAAAUAAUGUGCUCUCCAGCCUCACCUCUCAUCCUGAGAAACAUGAAAGGGAAAGUAAAAGAGGUGACCCAAAUCACAGAGCGCCUUUGAUAGGAGGAAUUCAGCUGUUUUGAACACUUACAAUCAAAGGAAGUGGUUUCCCUAAUUACACGAACUCUGUGAAAUCUCUCAGAAUAGCUCUUCCACCCCAGGAUUCCUUGCACUUUAGAAGUUUGCAUAAAAGCUCACAUGGAGAAUCAGAUGCAAAGUGUUUGAUUCAGAUUGUAUUAGGCAGAACAGUGCCAACAUCCAUCCUGCAGUCUGCCAGUUGCUUAGGUAGGACCACCGUACCUGGUUUUGAUGUGGGUAUCUUUCAGACCUGCAACAUUAAGAUCUUUGUUCUAUCCCUUUCUUGCAAGAGGCACCCGUUUUCAGGAGCAGUAGCUGUGAAAAUAUUCAGAUGGGUCUUCCCGAUUUCCCUCUCAAUCUAAAAGGGAUCCCUGGCUGUGUUUGUGGACUUUGCAUGGGAAAACAUGGUUUCCUGUGUUUGUGUUAGAUUCUUAUUAAGCGCUUCAUUAUAUAUUUUUUAUAUUUUAAAUAUGAUAAUGAUUUACCAUAAAAUUUACUUGCAGAGUUUCCCAUUUACUAUCAGAAUCUAGAUUGGGAAUCUGCCAAAACACGUGGCCUAAAGAAUAAUAGUGAUUAUGGCUGAAUUAAGUCUUUUGUGCUUUGAUAGUCAUCUUGUUACUGAGGCAUAUAGUGCAGGGCAGGUGUGUGUAAAGAAGAGAAUUAUAAAUAUCUAAGUUCUCUGGGGAGGCAGGCGUCAGGAUGAAGGCACAAGAGAAGACAGAAGCAUCAAUUUUAAUUAAAAUGUCAUCGUGAAAUGGUUUUUUUCAGGACAAGUAAUUUUAUGUGUAAGAGAGGCUGUCUAGUAAUCAUAUAUAACAGUAAAAAAGAAGUGUGUUUUCUUUUGUCUCUCACCCCCCCACCCCCCGCUUUCUUUCAGUGAAUAAGUAUCUUGUUACUACUGUAUUUUAUAUUCUAUAGAGCAGCGGUCACCAACCGGUGGGCCACAGACCACUGGUGGUCUGUGAGGUCUGAAAGGUUGGUGACUGCUGCUAUA